CAGGUGCUGGACCUACCAGCACCACAGACACAGCUGCCGUGCUUCACCUGUGACGCGAGGGCACAGAGGAAGUGGCUAUUUCUGCACUCAGUGCUCAGAACAGUGGGCACUAAGAAUGGUUUGUAGCAUGACAUUC
rfam:Myotis lucifugus cont2.285, whole genome shotgun sequence.